AUUGAACGCUGGCGGCAGGCCUAACACAUGCAAGUCGAGCGGUAGAGAGAAGCUUGCUUCUCUUGAGAGCGGCGGACGGGUGAGUAAUGCCUAGGAAUCUGCCUGGUAGUGGGGGAUAACGCUCGGAAACGGACGCUAAUACCGCAUACGUCCUACGGGAGAAAGCAGGGGACCUUCGGGCCUUGCGCUAUCAAAUGAGCCUAGGUCGGAUUACCUAGUUGGUGAGGUAAUGGCUCACCAAGGCGACAAUCCGUAACUGGUCUGAGAGGAUGAUCAGUCACACUGGAACUGAGACACGGUCCAAACUCCUACGGGAGGCAGCAGUGGGGAAUAUUGGACAAUGGGCGAAAGCCUGAUCCAGCCAUGCCGCGUGUGUGAAGAAGGUCUUCGGAUUGUAAAGCACUUUAAGUUGGGAGGAAGGGCAGUUACCUAAUACGUAUCUGUUUUGACGUUACCGACAGAAUAAGCACCGGCUAACUCUGUG
rnacentral:rRNA from 1 species